GAGACCCGCGUCCCCCGUUGCUAUUGGCCUUGAGUCAAGCACACUGGGGAGACCGCCGCUGAUAAAGCGGAGGAAGGAGCGGGCCACGGCAGGUCAGUAUGCCCCGAAUCUCCCGGGCCACACGCGAGCUGCAAUGGCAGGUACAAUGGGUUCCGACCUCGAAAGGGGAAGGCAAUCUCGAAAGCCUGCCGUAGUUGGGAUCGAGGGUUGAAACCCACCCUCGUGAACAUGGAAUCCCUAGUAAUCGCGCGUCACUAUCGCGCGGUGAAUAC
rnacentral:rRNA from 1 species